rnacentral:misc_RNA from 1 species
GAUGAAGAACGCAGCGAAAUGCGAUAAGUAUUGUGAAUUGCAGAAUUCAGUGAAUCAUCGAGUCUUUGAACGCACAUUGCGCCCCCUGGUAUUCCGGGGGGCAUGCCUGUCCGAGCGUCAUUGCCGCCCUCAAGCACGGCUUGUGUGUUGGGCCCCCGCCCCCCGGCUUCGGGGGGCGGGCCCGAAAGGCAGCGGCGGCACCGCGUCCGGUCCUCGAGCGUAUGGGGCUUCGUCACCCGCUCUGUAGGCCCGGCCGGCGCCCGCCGGCGACCCCAAUCAAUCUUUCCAGGUUGACCUCGGAUCAGGUAGGGAUACCCGCUGAACUUAAGCAUAUCAAUAAGCGGAGGA